UACGUAGGUCCCGAGCGUUGUCCGGAUUUAUUGGGCGUAAAGCGAGCGCAUGUGGUUUAUUAAGUCUGGUGUAAAAGGCAGUGGCUCAACCAUUGUAUGCAUUGGAAACUGGUAGACUUGAGUGCAGGAGAGGAGAGUGGAAUUCCAUGUGUAGCGGUGAAAUGCGUAGAUAUAUGGAGGAACACCGGUGGCGAAAGCGGCUCUCUGGCCUGUAACUGACACUGAGGCUCGAAAGCGUGGGGAGCAAACAGG
rnacentral:rRNA from 1 species